CUAGCCAUGAUUGAGUCCCGUUAGUAUCCACGCGGUGCUAUGUGCAAUUCGAUAUUUCUCGGACUUUUACUCGUAUUAGUAUUAAUUUGAUUUAAUAUUGUAUGCAAAGUCAGUGUGUAAAGACAGUAACAUGUUAUUAUCGAGGACGCGGCCUAUUUCACGUGUUUAUGAAGACAUUGUCAAGGAGUCCUAGGAAGCUAUCUCCUGGCGGCUAGGCGGAUUUGCGGCAUCGAAAGGAGCAGAUGUAGACUGGAUACAAGAAAAAAGGAAAACACUGCGCUAACGAUCCUCCAAGGAAGAUACAAAUACUGUAAGAAAUAUUUAUGGAGGUUUUUCGGAAUGGAAUCCCCGAGGAAAGCGGCUGCGACCGAAUGCCCUCGGAAAAUGGCGGAAAACACGUUACAAAUCCCUCGCCACGCAUAAUUCUUAAUACUGGGAUUAAAGAAUAGCUUCUUAAAGCUUGGGUGCCAAAAGAAAGAUAACAAGCUAUUAGCA